GACGAACGCUGGCGGCGUGCUUAACACAUGCAAGUCGAACGGAAAGGCCUGCUUUCCCUUGUGGAUUGCGGGUACUCGAGUGGCGAACGGGUGAGUAACACGUGAGGGAUCUGCCCCCAACUUGGGUAUAAGCCUGGGAAACUGGGUCUAAUUCCCGAUAGGACUGCAGGGUGGUGCCUGUGGUGGAAAACGAUUUUCUAGUGGUUGGGGAUGAGCUCGCGGCCUAUCAGCUUGUUGGUGGGGUAAUGGCCUACCAAGGCGGCGACGGGUAGCCGGCCUGAGAGGGUGGACGGCCACAUUGGGACUGAGAUACGGCCCAGACUCCUACGGGAGGCAGCAGUGGGGAAUAUUACACAAUGGGCGGAAGCCUGAUGCAGCGACGCCGCGUGGGGGAUGACGGCCUUCGGGUUGUAAACUCCUUUCGACCGCGAGGAAGCCACCUGGUUGGAAGGGUGGUGACGGUAGUGGUAGAAGAAGCACCGGCUAACUACGUG
rnacentral:rRNA from 1 species